UGCCCCAUGGCUGAGUUGGUUACAGCGUCCGACUGUUAUUUAACGUGAUCGGAAGGUCGUGAGUUCGAGCCUCACUGGGGCAG
rnacentral:tRNA from 1 species